UCUUUGUUUCGGGUGAUUGCGCCAAGCACAUAACUUUUUAUGUGCUUGGUGAGGAAAGUCCGAACACCUUCCAGCGUUAAGCUGGAAAAAAGUGGUAGUGGCUAACAGCCACCAUAUCCCUCUCCAGUUUUGCAUCAGAGAUAAAUAGACAGUAAAGAAUGAUUUUGCUUAUCGCGAUUGAUUCGACUGAAUAACUCGGGUGCAAAAUUGGGGAGGGAGAACGGGACAGUGUCACAGAGACAAUACUACCGAUCGUCGUUACGAAAACUCUAAAGGUUUUCAAUGCGAAGGAGGUCAAAGGUGAAAAGAGUGGGGUAAGAGCCCACAGUUCCGGCAGGCGACUGGCGGGAUAAGAAAAACUCCUACCUGGUGCAAGGGGAUCCCAAGUAUUUUUUAUAGGGAAUACCCGCUUGAGCCCGCGAAGCAAUUCCGGGCCUAGACAGAUAAUCACCCCUUUGCCGUAAGGCAGAGGACAGGAUUCGGCUUAUAGAAACAAAGAACAA
rnacentral:RNase_P_RNA from 1 species